UACGGAGGGUGCAAGCGUUAUCCGGAUUCACUGGGUUUAAAGGGUGCGUAGGUUGAUUAGUAAGUCAGUGGUGAAAUCUCCGGGCUUAACCCGGAAACUGCCAUUGAUACUAUUAGUCUUGAAUACCGUGGAGGUCAGCGGAAUAUGUCAUGUAGCGGUGAAAUGCUUAGAUAUGACAUAGAACACCAAUUGCGAAGGCAGCUGGCUACACGAGCAUUGACACUCAGGCACGAAAGCGUGGGGAUCAAACAGG
rnacentral:rRNA from 1 species